UGCUUGGACUACACAUGGUUGAGGGUUGUA
rnacentral:piRNA from 5 species